GGAAGAAAGAAGGCAGGCCAAGCUAACCCAGUUCUCCAGCACACAUUCAAAGGCAAGAGGAGUCUAAAAUAUCCUUGGUCUUCCCCACCCCACCCACAGUGUGUAAGUACAAUCAUAGCACCAAGUAUGUCUUUCUUUAUACUUGACCCAGCUGUCUCCCAGUGGUGCAGUGAGAGCUACCUAAGGAGGUACUUUGGUGCUUUGGAGAAAUGUAGAUCUGGAUUCAGCUCCCUGCUUGACUAUUUAAGAGUUGUGUGGCCUUGGGCAAAUUACUCAUCUCUAAGCCUUUGAUUUCUCCAUGGUAAAAGGAGAUAAUGAUAGUGUGUAAGGCUUUGAAAUGGUAAUCAAUCAUUUGUGGUACAUGUUCAGACAAUGCUCACUCUUACUAUUACUCCCAAUCCACAGCCCAGAAGGGUGGGCAGAUAAGUAGCUAACCGAGGGGAGGCUGGGGCAGUUGACACCUGCUGUUCUGAGUUUCCCUUGCCUGCUCCCUAGUGCUGGCCAAAGACCCUGGCUGGAGAAGCAGGGAAUCAGCCCUGGGCUGCCACGGUAAGGCCAAGGGUUAGAAGAUGGAGGCCUGGCUAACCAGGCCCAGGCUCUGCUCAACCCAGGAGGGUUCCAAACACCACAUUUGGAACUUCACCCUGUGACUUAGAGGUGGGAAUCUAUGUAUUUCCUAAUAACUCUGUUUCAAAGCAAGUUUACUUCUGACUGAGACAAACGUGGGUGUGGUGGGUUCCUUGUAUUCAAAACGAAACAAAAGAAAAGAAAACAAAGAGCACCCCCUCCCCCAAGCCCGGAAGGCCUGUAGACCUUUUCCCAGGCAAAAUGUGCGAAAAGAGGAGGGAGCGCCUUUGUGGGUGCUGUCCUGAUUUAGAGCUUAGGAGCACAGCCCUCUCCAGCCCUCCUCAAGUCUGAGGUUCCAAGCUGUUAAAAGCACUGGGGUCCCAGGGGCGGGGUGGAUGAGAUUUGUUCAGCCCAUCCCCAGUCUCAGCGGCUUGCUCAGCCGGUCCCACGCAGGGGAGGACCAGAGCACCGCUGGGUUGGACGCACCCCACCCGGGGAAGCACCCGCUCUCCCUGCCGGAAUCCCUGGAAUGUCGCCGGUCCAGGAAGUGUCUAUCCGGGCUCUAUGCAGAGGGAGGGGUUAAAACCUGGAAUUUCUCGGGGUGCUUUUGCACAUAUUCCCCUCAAGCUUUUCAGCCCCAUGAAGUUGAAGCUCACGGGGGUGAGAAGGAAGCCGCCUACUUCUUCCCCUGGCCGACUUUGUCUCAGGAAGGUUCGCAAUCCCUGCUCUUGCCAAAAUAAGUUAUUAUGCAAGGAAACAGGAAAUCUUGGUCAAAUUACCAGCCCAGGGUCCACAACAUAGAGAUUAGGAACAGAUUCAGCAAACGGAAACAAGGUAAGCAACAAAAAGUGAUCAUAUCCCAAUCAUCAAAGGUAGGACACUAGAGGUUGGAGUCAAGGAGAAAAGGGGAAACUAUUUAGGUUCAAGAAGUAGGGCUUGAAAGGGGACUUAUCAGUGGAGACUUCAAGAAUAUCUGGUAGUAUUUGUUCACCCUACCCUGGUUUGUAUGUGAGUAAUCCUUGCCCUGCCCAUUACCCAAAAGGAUUCUGAUCUGAAGACUAAUAACUAUAUUUUAGAACAAAAAUACCCUCAAUUUUAUGUUAAGCAUUCAUUAAAAUAAGUCACAUAAUAAAGUUGAUCUGUAUCAUGAGGGAGAUAUAUCAUAUGGUGGGGUCUGGCCCUUUAAAUGAGGUUAGAAAUGACUGAAGAGCUCUAUUAACCCUCUUAUUAGGACAGAAUGGAUUCCACGUAGUAUUCCCUAAAACAAAAUAAAACCAAAAAAUGACAAGCUUCUGUUAAAGGCUGUUCACCUUUGAUGAUAUCUCUUAAUUGUUUACUUUUUAACUAAGGGUUUUUAACUAGGGCUAUUAGAACUCUAGAGGGUGUUUAAUCUGUUGAUCUGUUUUCAAAAGUCUGACUCCUUUCAUUUGUGAUCCUAGGUAAGUAGUAGCUUGGAGGGUUUUACUUAUGCAAAAAGAUCAGUUCCCUAAUUUUCAAUUUCUUUAAGUGUAAAAUUCUAGUGUCAGACGCUAUCUUGAAAUGGGGGAAGGGAAGUUAUGAGAAUGUAUUGGGUAAGAUUCCCUGAUGUUUUCAUACCUCUCAAACCUAGACCUCUACACCAAGGCCCCUUCCCCACCUGUAUAGUAAGCAAAAAUACUUUUUCUUUUUCUUUCUUUCUUUUUUUUUUUUUUUUUUUUGGCUUUUUAGGGCCGAACCUGCUGCAUAUGAAAGUUCCCAGGCUAUGGGCUGAACUGAAACUGCAGCUACUGGCAUAUGCCACAGCCACAGCAACGUAGGAGCCGAGCCAUGUCUGAGACAGCUACACCACAGCUCACAGCAAUGCCGGAUCCUUAA
rnacentral:lncRNA from 1 species